rnacentral:lncRNA from 1 species
GGCAAGUAUGUCAUGAGCAUAUUCUUUGUGUUAUAUAUGUGUGUUAACAUUCUGAGGGCAAUGUCACUGUGUUAAAAAGUCAAAUGCAAUCUACACUUUCCUCUUUCUUUGGGCUUCAGGUUGACAGUAACUGUUCUGUGUCAGACAGUUGCAAUUUUAGUUACAUGAUAGCUACCUGUCAGUUUUCCAGAAAAAUGCUUGUGGGUUUUGGCUUUUGAACUUUAAAAUUUUUAAAAGACUUAUCUGUGUGUAGUGGCACGUGACUUUAAUCCCAGCUCUUGAGAGACAGAGGCAGGUAGAUCUCUGUGAGAUAGAGACUGAACUGGUAUGGAUAUUCCCUCGCAGGAUGCUGUUCGUCUCCUUGACACUAUUUAUUUAAGGUGCUGAAUGAGUGUUCAGAGUUAGUAACUUUUUAAAAGGAAAGCACAUUGAAUAUAUAAAUGUUUAAUUUGACAGAAGUUCUCUGUAAUACAAUUUGUCCUGAAUUUUUUUCCUCUUUAAAUUUUCAUGGCAGUUUAUUUUUACUGCUGCCCCAUCAUUCCAUCUCAUGUAAGAAGCUGUCUUCCAUUUCCAGGGGAGCUCAUAUUGAUGUGCGAAACAAGAAGGGGAACACUCCGUUAUGGCUAGCAGCAAAUGGUGGACACCUAGAUGUGGUUCAGCUACUGGUGCAAGCAACUGCAGAUGUAGAUGCAGCAGAUAACCGCAAGAUAACUCCGCUCAUGGCUGCAUUUAGAAAGGUAGUUCUUAUAUCCUCAUUCUCUUGCAGCACUGCACAUGGCCAGUUGUGUGGGAGAACACGGCUUAGUGAUUAUUCUGAACUUAGUUCUGUGAUGUAAUAACUUUGAUGAAAGCAGUAAUACUAUGUGCAAAUGAGAUGCUCUACUUGCAAGCCAAAUAGAUCUAAUAUUUCAAAAAUCCUGCAAAUGUGAUUCAUAUUGGAUAUUAAAGCUAAGGAUAGUUGCAAAGAUAUUCUAGGGUGACUGGCUGGAUGACUCCGUGAGUAAAGGUGCCUGUCAUGAAAGCCUGACAACUCCAGAAUUGUCCUCUGACCGCUACAUGCAUGCCCUGGCAUAGCCGCCCCACCCUCCACCCCAAUCAUGGGUAUAUACACAUGGAAUAAUAAAGUAAAAUAAGGCAUGUAUUCUAAGGUAUACAUUUGAAAUCUAGUUAUAAUUUUGUCUCACAAAAUAACAUUUGGAUGAUUUCUUACAUUCCCAUUAAACAGUAAGUUUUAUUGUUGGUUUUAUUCAUUCACCUGGGUUUUCUGUUAUUGGCUUGGUUUGGGCUUUGUCUUUUUUUUUUUCUUUUUUAGUUUGGCUUUGAUAUGGAUUCUCACGAAGUUGCUUUGGCUGGCUUUGAACUUUGCUGCAACUUACAGAUUAUACUUUUUCCUCUGUAUAAGAGUGCUGGGAUUGAGCUGGAGGGAUGGCUCAGUGGUUAAGAGCACCGACUGCUCUUCUGAAGGUCCUGAGUUCAAACCCCAGCAACCACAUGGUGGCUCACAACCAUCCGUAAUGAGAUCUGACUCCCUCUUCUGGAGAGUCUGAAGACAGCUACAGUAUACUUUAAAAAAAAAAAAAGAGUGCUGGGAUCUAUACAAGUGAGACUGGCCUUUUGUCAGUGAAAAGCCUAUCAACAGUUUAAGGAAAAGUCAGUGUACUAUAUUUAGAACUAGGAUUAAAAUUUUUAGAUGGAGCAGACACAACUUUUUAUUUCUCUAGUCCAAUUGCACAGAACUAUUACAGGGUGUUUUGGCCCAGGCUAUCUUGAAACUCUCUCUAUAAGAUGACUUUAAACCGUAGAUACUCGUGGGUCAACCUUUCUGAAGGAGACACUUAUAUAUAAACCCAUCAUUAGGAUUAUAGCUUAAAGAGAGAGUAGUUGUCUAAUUGCGUGAAGGUCUGAGCUUUACCCCUCCCCCCACUACUACAAAAACUUUUCAUUCAUAAAGCUAUCUUAUGGACAACAUGUAGUAUUUUUAGGAUGUAAGUUACAUGAUAUCAUUUUUCUUUCCUUUGAGUGUAUUUUUAUUUUUUCUACCCUUGGAGAUAAGGUCUUGGCAAACUUAUGAAGAUCUGCCUGCCUCUGCCUCCCAUGCUGUAGUUAAAGGUGAACACCACCACUCCCAGUUAUGUAUUCUUGUUUUUUAUUCCUCCUUGCCUCUGGUUCGUGUAAACUACACAGACACUUGCUCCCUUUUUAGCAUUUAAGGCUACUCUUGGCUCAGUGGCGUCUUUUCAUAUUAGAAUCUUAACUCAUUUGCUAUUGAAGCCAGCACAGUUUAGUCCUUAAAUCUCAGCUUCCAUUAUGAAUCCCUAAUGAAAGAGAGUCAUGCUGUUGUUUGAUCUUUUUCUUACCUCCUGUCUGGUUACCUUUGUUCUUAACUGGAAUGCCCAUUAUUUUUCUAGUUAUUCAUUCUUUGGGGGAUUUUAAAUUUCCCCUUCACAAACUGUUCCAUCUUGUUGGAGUUCAUAUAAAGGUUGUAGAAGUUCUAUAAUGCUUUUGCAACCCUUUGUUAUGUCCUCAUUUAUUCUUUUCUACAAGUAUUGCAAUUACAAAAAUAGAUCGCCAAGUCCAGCAGCUUGCCCACCUAAUUCUUUCCCUCCUUCCCUCUUAUAAAUGAAUGUUAACAGGAAAGGUGAUGUAUUAGUGGUAGCAUAGAAGCAUUUUAAGGACUAUAAGUAUUCAUUUAAAGCCAAGGAUAAAACAUACAAGUGCAAGUUAAAGGAAGAGAGAGCCUAACUUCUCUCAGUAUUUUGGAAGCUGGGUUAGUACAGUCUGCCUUACAUAACAGGUUCGAGACCAGCUUCAGCAUGGGGAGUGCUCAUCCUUAAAAGGUGGAGGGGCCAUACACCUUUAUUUUCAGCACUCAAGAGUCAGAAUCAGGCAGAGAUAAGCCACCCUGGUCUAUCGACAUAGUGACCCAGGACAGUCAGGGCUACAUAAUGAUCUUCUGUAUCAAAAAUAGGCAAAUAACUUAAAGCAUGACAGAGUAAGAGCAAAAUGGCUUAGCAGGUAAAGGUACUUUCCAUGCGCACCUGCCCAUGUAGAGGUGCUAGAAGGGAAUUGAAUUCAUACAUGACAUAAACACAUGAACAUGUAUAUAGGAGAAAGUUUUUCCGUGUAUAUAUACAUGCAAUACUAACUACUGUCUACCCAUAUUACCUAAAUUGUAGGUAUUAUCUCAGAAAUUAGUAAAUGCUGAGGAAAAAGGACAGUAGGCUCAUAACCAGAAGAUGUGUGGGUAUAGAGUUUCUUUCUUUGAGACUGUUGUGGGAUACUUGGUCCUCACACUUAGCCUCCCUCACUUAUGAUUGUGAUUAAGGAAUGGGCAACCAGACCUCUCUGGUAACAAAUUGUUACCUUUUUAUUGAAGCAGGAUCGUACUCUGGUCCUGCCUGUCCAAGGCUUGCUGUGUAAACCAGAUUGGCCUUGAACUCUCAAAAGUCUUUCUGCCUCAGUCCUGGAAUUGAAGGUAUAAACUUAGAAUU